GCGUAACAUUCCGCACGAUUUAGCAACAAGAGGACACACACUUUGGACAGUCAUAGUCGAUACCAAUAUCUUUAAUAUAAAUCUCGUCCUCAACUUAUCGGCGGGAUUUCGC
rfam:Avibacterium paragallinarum strain CL AvpgCL_contig_65, whole genome shotgun sequence.